rnacentral:rRNA from 1 species
AUGCAAGGCGGCGCCGUCGAGGGGAGGAGCAGGGCUCCGCCGUACAAGGCCGACGAGAGCGCCAUCAUCGGGGCGGCGUACAGCCAGCGAGUGGAGCUUGCCGUGAGGAUCGACAAGAAAGUGCUCCACUGCCCCCUCUGCACCCUCCCCUUCAAGCCCCCCGUCUUCCAGUGCAAAGCGGGGCACCUGGCCUGCGGCUGUUGCGUGGCCCUCCUGCCCUUCGGGCAGUGCAAGGCGUGCGUGGACAACGGCGGCUUCUUCGACCCCUGCCCCGCGCUUGACGCCGUGGUGUCCUCGACCAGGAUCGAGUGCCCCAAUGCGGGCUGCCAGAGGUACGUGACCUACCACGAGGUCGCCGAGCACAACACCGCAUGCCCGCCCGCGCCCUGCCACUGCACCGAGCCGGGUUGCUCUACGUCGGCGCACCGCAGGCGCUCGCCGGCCACCUCCACACCGUCCACUCGGUGCCGGUGCGUGUCGUGCAGUACCGCAAGAUCAGCCAACUCCAGCUGUCUGUGUUGA